CAGCAGUGAAAUUAUUUGCUCUUAGCGACGUGAUAAGUGGGGGAUUCCAAGCUAAGGUCCCGAUGACACGGGUACAGUGAGGUCUGGAAGGCUCAGACGUGAGUAUCUUUUGGUUUGAACCCCAUGUUCUCCUUUCUCCUUCCCAAAUCCCUUUGGAUUGGUUUCACCCUAUGUAAUCAGGAGUGAAAUAGAAUGUGUAAGAAUGGGAGAGGGCACUGAUGAGCUGUUUAGUGCUUAGUAUGUCCUUUAGCUGAAAUAUCAAUGUAUCCGGGCUGGGGUGGGGCGGCGGGGUGGGUAUCGAGAAAUAAUUUAACUCUACCAAAACCCAUGGCUAACUUCUAUUGGCUCUUUAGGUUUCGGCUUAAAUAUCACUUUUCCCUAAAACCCUCCCAAGAGUGGAUUAGGUGUCUCCCAGUAUGGAUAUUUGUUGUUGUUUCUGGUUGUUAACAUCCAAAACCUCUACUGAAUGUGGGGAAGAGUUCCCUUAUGUGUAGUAUUUGUGGGAUCCCUUCCUCUUCUCAUGGAAGAAGCUGAAUGAGGGCAGAUUUCUCUCCCACCCUCUGACAGUCCAAGUCUCAUCCAAUCCGAUGCUAUUUUCUGGAAUCUUGGAUUGUGAUUGACACAGAGACAAGCAUUUUUCUUUGCCUAAAUCAGCCAGAAGUAGUUUCCAGGCUUGCCCUGGGACACUUGGAUGAGCCACUCUCUCAUGAGCUCCCAGGGUAUCUCUAAUAGUUUUGUAAGUCUUUCCUGACAAAUUAUUAUGAAUUUUGUAGAUUAAAACAACAGACAUUUAGUCUCCCACAGUUCUAGAGGCCAGAAGUCCAAAGUCAGUAUCACCAGGCCAAAAUCAACGUGUUGGCGGGGCCAUGCUGCCUCCAGGAAGGGAGAAUCCCUUCCUUCUCUUUCUUCAGCUCCCAGUUUCUCAUGGCUGCCAUCAUCCCUCAGCUUAUGGCUUGUGGCUGCAUCACUCCAGGCUCUGCUUCUUGGUCACAUUGUCUUCUCCUCUUCUCUGUGUGUUAAAUCUCCCUCCGCCUCCCUUUUUAUAAGGAUCCAUGUGAAUGCAUUUAAGACCCACACACAUCAUCCACAAUAAACUCCCCAUCUCAAGAUCCUUAAUUAUAUCUGCAAAGACAUUUUGUUGUUGUUGUUGUUGUUAUAUAAGUUAACAUUCGGAGGUUCCAGGGAUUGGGUUGUGGAGAUAUAUAUAUUUAAAAAAAUUUUUUUAAUGUUUAUUUAUUUUUGACAGAGAGAGAGAGAGACAGAGCAUGAGCGGGGUGGGGGGCAGAGAGAGAGGGAGACACAGGAUCUGAAACAGACUCCAGGCUCUGAGCUGUCAGCACAGAGCCCACGCAGGGCUCAAACUCACAGACCGCGAGAUCAUGCCCUGAGCCGAAGUCGGACGCUCAACCGACUGAGCCAACCAGGUGCUCCAUGAUUGUGGAUACAUUUUGGUGGCCAUUUUUCAGCCUUUUAUGCAGUAUCCUCACUUUGUUCAGGAGGUCAGUUUACUUGUCUCUUUCCCUUCCUAGACUGUGAACUCCUGGAGUUCAGAAGCAUUCAUCUUGCCUAUCACUUAUUCCUGGUGCCAAAGUUCUGGUGGGCACACAAAGACACUUGUUGAAUGAAUCAAAAAACAAGUUCAAGCCAAGAUGUAAUCAAUGUUGCAUCCUUUUUUUCAACACCAGGCUUGAAGUUUAAGAUUUUAGGGGCUGGGGCGCCUGGGUGGCGCAGUCGGUUAAGCGUCCGACUUCAGCCAGGUCACGAUCUCACGGUCCGUGAGUUCGAGCCCCGCGUCAGGCUCUGGGCUGAUGGCUCAGAGCCUGGAGCCUGUUUCCGAUUCUGUGUCUCCCUCUCUCUCUGCCCCUCCCCCGUUCAUGCUCUGUCUCUCUCUGUCCCAAAAAUAAAUAAUCGUUGAAAAAAAAAAUAAAAAAAAAAAGAUUUUAGGGGCAAAUUUUCUCUUCUAAUAGGGAUGUCGAUGUCAACACUAUCUGUCUCUUUAAUCGAGUUAGUGUUGCUUUCACACCUCUAACUUUUCACAGCACUAAGCCAGCAGACAGGAAGCUCGUGCACCCCAUCUGACUCCCAGGGCAGAUGCUGCCAGACGAUCAUGGCUCUUCCCUCAAAAGCCCAAACGCUGCCUUUGAGUCCUUGACACAGCAUUCCAGGCAGCUGCUCCCUAUCAGGUGAAGUUGGCCAGCAAGGUAAAAUUUUUCAUGUCACCACAACCAGAAGAUAAAAAGCCAACCUCCUCAGUCUGGUCCCACCUUGCUUGGCCACUUUCUUUUUCAUUAUUUUUAGCAUUAACUCUCUACUUGAGCUGGCAUCAAACAUACCACAUUCAGUCUCCACUCUGAGUUCAUAAUGUUCUUCUCUCUUUCCUCUCCAAGGUAGUAGCCCCCCUUCAGCUUUCAGUGCAAGUCCCCACAAACAGAACAGAUUUUUCUGUAACUUUGACACAUAUAGUCAUUUCUCUUCAUGCUACCAAACGCAAUUUGUUUUCUCCCCAGGUCUCCAAUUAUAAUCAGCACCUACUUCCCCAAUAACGUUCCUUUACUUACUCCAUCAUACCGACAUUUAACUUACAAUCUCUCCCCACGUUCCAAUAUGUUAAACACUUAAUUUCUAUUCUGGGUUUCUCAGAGGAGACUCUCAUGACCUGCAGAAGGCUCUAGCAGUUGCCAAGUGGGGCUAGUGUGGCCCCCAGCUAUGUUACGCCUGGUUAGAGCCAGGUUCCAGGUGUGUCUGAUUCUGGUCAAUUGGAAUCUGAACUCUGUUUCUGGGCCAAGUUGGAAGGAUCCAACUUCCAAUCCAAACAGUGUAGUCACUAAUCAAUGCACUCUUUCCCUGCCUUCAGCAUGGAGAAUACCGCAGAUGUUUCCACACAAUCUUUUGGGCUGUAUUAUGUGCCACCAAACCCACUUAAUCUUGGAGAAAUGACAAUGUGCAAAUAAAUUACCAAGCUGAUGUCUUGCUUCAGAGUUAAGGGUUUCAGUUGCCAGAUACAUAAUAUGAAAUAGGUACAGAUUGUAAUGUACCAUCUUUCUUACAGGAAGAUAAAUCUAAAGUGGACUUAUUGCCUAAACCUGGUUUAUGAUAGUAUGUGGUUUUCGUGCUAUGUGGUUAAACCUUUUUAUUUUAAUCACCCAAGGCUAUCCUGGUUUAGAUAUAGUCAUUCUUUUAUUUUUUGUAGUUGCUGCAAUCUCUGGGAUCAAUUCGAAUCGGUUCAAUACUGUUACUCAUAAUGAUAUGUAGGUGGUGGUAGAGUCAAACUCUGCCGGAAAUGACUUUAGGUAGAUAAACCUCCUAAGUCAAGGGAAACAAAAGCAAAAAUCAAUGAUUGGGACCACCGCAACAUAAAAAGAUUCUGUACAGCAAAGGAAACAAGCAACAAAACAAAAAGGCAGCCUACUGAAUGGGAGAGGAUGUUUGCAGAGACAUAUCCAAUGUAGGGUUAGUAUCCAGAGUAUAUAAAGAGCUUACACAACUCAACACCAAAAAAAUCCCACAAAUAAUCCAAUUAAAAAAGACAGGGCGGAAGACAUGAACAGAUAUUUCUCCAGAGAAGACAUCCAGAUGGCCAACAGACACAUGAAAAGAUGCUCAUCAUCAUUAAUCGUCAGGAAAAUGCAAAUCAAAACCACUAUGAGAUAUCACCUCAUCCCUUCAGAAUGGCUAAAAUCAAAAAUAUAAGAAACAACAGGUGUUGGUGAGGAUGUAGAGAAAAAGGAAGACUCGUGUACUGUUGGUGGGAAUGCAAACUGGUGCAGCCACUGUGGAGGUUUCCUCAAAAAAAUUAAAAAUAGAAUUACCAUUUGAUCCAGCAAUUCCACUACUGGAAUUAUUUUUUUACCCAAAGAAUAUGAAAACACUAAUUUGAAAAGAUACAUGCACCCCUAUGUUUAUUGCAACAUUAUUUACAAAAGUCAAAUUAUGGAAACAACCCCAAGUGUCCAUUGAUAGGUGAAUGUAUAAAGAAUGUGGUAUAGAUAGGUAGAUAGACAGAUGUAGAAUAUUAUUCAUCCAUAAAAAUGAUGAAAUCUUGCCAUUUGCAACAACAUGGAUGGGUCUAGAGGGCAUAAUGCUAAACAAAAUAAGUCAGAGAGAAACAAAUAUCAUAUGAUUUCACUCAUAUGUGGAAUAUGAAACAAAACAAAGAAAAAAAGAGACAAACCAAAAAACAGACUCUUUAGAGAACAAACUAGUGGUUGCCAGAGGGGAGGUGAGGGUAAGUGAUGGGUGAAACAGGUGAAGGAGAUUAAGAGUGCACUUAUCAUGAUAAACAUUGAGUAAUAUAUAGAAUUGUUGAAUCACUGUAUUGUACACCUGAAAUGAAUAUAACACUGUAUAUUAACUCCAUCGGAAUAAAAAAUAAUAAAAAUGCUGAAAAAAAAUUGCUCUUAGGGCUGGGAGUUUGGUCUGCAAGAUGUCUCAUUCAUCCAAUGUCACAGUACAAGUGUGUAUUUCUUCAAAUCUUGGGAAGUAAAAUUGGGGCCAUGAGAGGCACACCAUGUCCUUUUCAUGGUGUGCAGAAGACGCCACAAGGGCCUUAAAUCAUCAAGCUGCUCUUUAGCUGAUGUAUUUGGAGCAGUCUCAUUCUCUGUCCACAGAUGGUCCCAGCUCCAAACUGUCUGCCCCCUUUCUUCCCCUUUCCAGCUGUGUCUCUGCAUCCAUGGCCUGAGAUCCCCAAAGGCCAUCCAUUCUUCUUUCUCCCCCCACAUCAACCGUAAGUAAGUCAAUACAUUAAAAAAGCUUUCUGUACUUUGGCAGGUUUAGAAAAUUCUUUACACUUCUCACUAUUGGAAAGAGUGAGUCAAUGUACUUUUGUAUCAGUUUCUAAAGUGUUUGAUUUUUUAAAAAAAUGUUUGGCUCAAAAUUCUGUCAUCUUAUAUUGAAUUCUCUUGUGAUUUUGACCUUUUUGACUCAAGGAGGAGCAUCACAGGGAAAUGGAAAUAUUGUCAACUAUUGUCCCCAGACCUCCAAAAGAACAGAGACCUAACUAACCCAGCUUUGGUAACCUUUCCUUCUUCUCUUCUUUUGGAAGAAGAACGAAUGAUCAAAAUGAAGAUACUCGUGGGACCAAAGAAAGGCAGGUGUGGAACUUGGGCUGGAUCCCCACCUUGAGUAACAGAGCAGGAGAGGACUCUCUAAAUGCCUCAUCUAACACGAUGGGAUGAUGCUUAAAGAACACAAUGCUUUCUAAACAGUUUUGUUGUUUAGAGAUUGUCAAACUCUGUAACAUAACUGAGAUAAUGUCUCUCAUCUUUUAAAGUAAAAAUUGCAUGGAAAAGUCUCUAUUAUGUAGACAUUUGAUAACCUUCUUUGCCAGUAUCUUUUGGGGGAUGGGGCAGCCUUUAGCAUCUGCAACUAACUGUGCCCAAAGCAGCUUCCAAAAGCCAAUUUCGGCUUGUCCUCUAGGCCGAAGGCAGAGCAAUUAGAAACCAGGCCCCUGCUGUAUCAUUCACUUUGUGGCAUCAAAAUAUGGAGAUGUUGCUCAUGUUUGGGUUGUUUUCCAGUGUGCAAUGCCAACCAUCUGAUAUUUGUGCUAAGUGGGAUUACUGAGAGAAAUAUCAGUGGGGCAGCUUCCCAAGAUGACAGAUUGUGGGAAGGCCUCUCAGCUACAGCAAAUGGGCAUUUGGAUUCUCCAACGUCCAUCCAGAAAGGGAGAGGAGAACCCGCAUUCCUCAGAUGCCUGGUGUUUCACCCUCAGUUGCAACGUCACAUAAACAUCUGGUCAAAGUUUUGAGGCAGACAGGCAGGCAGGCGACAGUGAUUCGUGUCGUUGAUAACCAGUUAUGCAUUACCUUAAUUUGAAAAGAAUACUUGUCUCACCCCUCCCCCACUAUUACCUGGUUUCUGAAAGGCAAGAAUGUUCUCAGAGAAAGGACCUUUCUUAGCAAAUGUUGGAUUCAUAAAGGAAGAAGUCACGACAAGAGAAAAGACCUUGCAAGGGCACGACUCUCAUUGUUUGCAGGGACAGAAUUGCUUUUCAAACUUGCAUAUGCUCACCAAUUUCAAACAACAAUCAUGCUUCUGCAGUGGGGCCUCUGACUCAGAAUUUCCAACCAGCUCUGAGGGGAUGGCUGGUGGUGUUGGCCCCAUGGACCUCUCUCAGAGGAGCAAAGGCUUCUGCCAGUGAUUCUUGUGUGGAGGCAGGGAAGGCAUAUAUAAGAACCACCUGGAGGAAGUUCUUUCAGAAUACACAUUCCCCUUUCUCCCCCACAAGGGCCAGCAAAGUGGAUGUAAUGAGGGGCAUGUGGAUUUUUAAAAAGCAUUAUUGAGAUAUAAGCCACAAGCCAGAAAGCACCCAUUUUAAGUAUACGGUUCAAUGGUUAUUAGUGUUAGUUGUGCAGCCAUCACCACAAACUUAUUUAAAAAAAUUUUUUUUUCAACGUUUGUUUAUUUUUGGGA
rnacentral:lncRNA from 1 species